ACAGUGGUUGGUCAGUGGUAGAACACUCACCUUUCAUUCUGGAGACCUGGGUUCAAGUCCCAGCCAAUGCA
rnacentral:tRNA from 1 species